AGCAGCCGCGGUAAUUCCAGCUCCAAUAGCGUAUAUUAAAGUUGUUGCAGUUAAAAGCUCGUAGUUGAAUUUCGGGGUUAGUAGGUUGGUCAUGCCUCUGGUAUGUACUGGUCUCACUGAUUCCUCCUUCCUGAUGAGCCGUAAUGCCAUUAAUUUGGUGUUGCGGGGAAUUUGGACUGUUACUUUGAAAAAGUUAGAGUGUUUAAAGCAAGCUAACGCUUGAAUACAUUAGCAUGGAAUAAUGAAAUAGGACGUUCGAUCCUAUUUUGUUGGUUUCUAGGAUUGACGUAAUGAUUAAUAGGGAUAGUUGGGGGCAUUAGUAUUCAAUUGUCAGAGGUGAAAUUCUUGGAUUUAUUGAAGACUAACUACUGCGAAAGCAUUUGCCAAGGAUGUUUUCAUUAAUCAAGAACGAAAGUUAGGGAUCGAAGACGAUCAGGUCCGUCGUAGUCUUAACCAUAAACUAUGCCGACUAGGGAUCGGAUGAUGUUAAUUUUUUAAUGUACUCAUUCGGCGCCUUAAC
rnacentral:misc_RNA from 1 species